CUACGGCAACAUGGAGGUUACGCGUGUGUACCGUAACCACGGAAUUUCGUGUGAUUGCAUUUCGCUUGUGUGGUUACAUUUCGCUGGUGUGAUUACAUUUCGCUGGACGAAGCCGGUGAUUUCUCAGUUUCAGCGUUGAUCGUGACGGGAAGAAAGCAGAUCUUCGUUAUUGGACGGGUGUAUUCGGACUGCGCAGUUUUGAUGGUGACGACGCGGACAAGACCGUCGUUCCCUGGAUGGCAGGCGGUGAUGCGUACCAUCUCCCAUCGACUUGGCGGCAGAGUCGGGUUACGAAGUAACACGAGUUGACCUACUUUGCGAGUUGAGAUUUAGCAAGGCGCCCUUUUGCACGUAUUAAACCGUCAGCAUCCAGGUACGGUACGAGAGAAAGUAGAGGACUUGUCCUCGGGAUCGGCUUGGAUGCUCAUAGGGCUCUCAAUUCCUCCGGGAACGCGUCGGUUUGGAGCCUACGUAGCCAAAAUACGCGAGCUUUGUGAAUCGCGGUGGGUUUCAGAACGUUUGGCGAAGCAGAAGCUACCGUUUUCGAUUCGGAGUUUUGACCAUGACGAAUAGCGCGCUGCUAAAUCCCACUGUUCGAAAGAGGUAGUGAGGCUAGGAAGAGAAGAUUGUCUUUCUUCGAGCGAGAUCGCAGGAAUCGGGUUAGGAGACGCAUGAAGCCAAGAGGAUUCCUGGUGCAGCCACUGAGGACCGGAUCACCAUAAUUGGUAAUCCUUUAAUUGUUUAAUAGACACCCCGCGAGACGCGCAGUCGGCGGGAUUUUCGUGAGUUGAUACGUAAUGCCACUGUGCGUUAGGACUAAGUUCGUGAAUAAGUGCUACGCGGUUUGCGACAAAGGUUUUCCAUCGAGUCGGUGGUUGAUUUACCCACUCUAAUGUGACACUGGAGUCGGUCCAACAAUGGGAUUCGAUCAUUUCCUAAUUUAACGCGGUUCGAACGAAUUUUAAGAGGCGAGCCAGAAGCAACGCGGCGCAUAAUUCUAAUCGGGGCACGCUGAUCGUUUUGAGUGGAGCUACGCGAGUUUUGGCAAG